ensembl:snRNA U6 U6 spliceosomal RNA
GUGCUUGCUUCAGCAGCACAUAUACCAAGAUUAGCAUGGCCCCUGCACAAGGAUGACACGCAAAUUCGUGAAGGGUUCCAUAUUAAA